rnacentral:rRNA from 1 species
ACAAGGAUUCCCCUAGUAACUGCGAGUGAAGCGGGAAAAGCUCAAAUUUGAAAUCUGGCAGUCUAUUUUUUCUUCUUUGGCUGUCCGAGUUGUAAUCUAGAGAAGUGCUUACCUGCACUGGACCAUGUAUAAGUCUCCUGGAAUGGAGCGUCACAGAGGGUGAGAAUCCCGUCUUUGACAUGGACUGCCAGUGUGUUGUGGUGUGCUCUCAAAGAGUCGAGUUGUUUGGGAAUGCAGCUCUAAAUGGGUGGUAAACUCCAUCUAAAGCUAAAUAUUGGCGAGAGACCGAUAGCGAACAAGUACCGUGAGGGAAAGAUGAAAAGGACUUUGGAAAGAGAGUUAAACAGUAUGUGAAAUUGUUGAAAGGGAAACGCUUGAAGUCAGUUAUGUUGGCUAGGGAUCAACCUAGCUGUCUUUUGCUGGGUGAAUUUCCUAGUCUGACAGGCCAACAUCAGUCUUGACUGCUGGAAAAGAGCAGAGGGAAUGUGGCACCUUCGGGUGUGUUAUAGCCCUUUGUCAUAUGUGGCGGUUGGGACUGAGGGAUGCAGCGUGCCGCGAGGCUGGGUUUCGACCACGUUCACGCUUAGGAUGUUGGCUUUUAAUGGCUUCAAUCGACCCGUCUUGAAACACGGACCAAGGAGUCUAACAUGCCUGCAAGUGUUUGGGUGGAAAACCCUUGCGCACAAUGAAAGUGAAAGUUGAGAUCCCUGUCAUGGGGAGCAUCGACGCCCGGACUUGAGCUUUUAGCGACGGAUCCGCGGUAGAGCAUGCAUGUUGGGACCCGAAAGAUGGUGAACUAUGCCUGAAUAGGGCAAAGCCAGAGGAAACUCUGGUGGAGGCUCGUAGCGAUUCUGACGUGCAAAUCGAUCGUCAAAUUUGGGUAUAGGGGCGAAAGACUAAUCGAACCAUCUAGUAGCUGGUUCCUGCCGAAGUUUCCCUCAGGAUAGCAGAAGCUCAUUAUCAGAUUUAUGUGGUAAAGCGAAUGAUUAGAGGCCUUGGGGUUGAAACAACCUUAACCUAUUCUCAAACUUUAAAUAUGUAAGAACGAGUUGUCACUUGAUUGGACUGCUCGGUGAUUGAGAGCUUCUAGUGGGCCAUUUUUGGUAAGCAGAACUGGCGAUGCGGGAUGAACCGAUCGCAAGGUUAAGGUGCCAGAGUUCACGCUCAUCAGACACCACAAAAGGUGUUAGUUCAUCUAGACAGCAGGACGGUGGCCAUGGAAGUCGGAACCCGCUAAGGAGUGUGUAACAACUCACCUGCCGAAUGAACUAGCCC